GAGAGAUGUCUGGCAGCAGAAACACCAGGUGGAGUUUCCCGACUGAGAGCUGAGCGCCAGCUGCCCUCAUCCUGACACUGAGAGAGGUCAAGAGGAUAAUCCUCAGUGCUACACGAGGCUAAGAGGUGUAUUUUCACCUCUGGGCAGAAGGAGCAGCACGAGCACUUGCAGAGUGGUGCUUUGGAGGAGAGCACUGGGUCAGCUGCUCAGCGCAUUGCACGCUGGACUGCUUUGGCUAUCAGACAGGAUCUAAAAGAAGACAUAGGGCCAUGAACUCGAACGGUGCUCCUUGCUGUGUUGCCGGAGAAUCUUCUGAACACCAAACUUGAUCUCAAAACUGAAAUGUCCAACACCUAGAAGUGGUGUCUAUUGAUAGCAAAAACCUCAAAUUUGUUUUCAAGGUUUACACUGCAUGCUGUGAAAGGUGACGUCCCUCGCAGUAAUACAGCAUGGAACUCCUUGGGCUGCAUAGGAAGUCCCUCCUACAGACAAGGACAAGAAGAGGACAAAGAAGAAACAAUGAUAAAUCUGAGCAGAUGACAGUGACCAUUCAGCAAACAAGGUGGUGCCCCCCCAUAACACAGAGUAUUUGUUGGUUACAUAUAGCACAGUGCUCAGUCAAUGCAGGCUGUGUUAACAAAAGCUCACCAAUUCACUGGUCACAUGUCCUAGGAGUUAUGGGAGACUGGAAAGUUGCCUGGUUCAUAUGGGGUGUGCAUAUACAUAUAUAAAAUCUUAUGAAUUUACAUGUGCAUUUGUGUCUGUGUACCGUGACUCUGUUUUAUAAUCAGCAAUGAUCGUUUGCUCCUUGAGGCUGGCAUCCUGUGUGUACUUGGGCGGACUCCAUUGCGUUUUAUUUCAGGAGAGCUCCUGUAAUGUGAAAAGUGCAUCUUUAUGAGGAAAGUUAGACCUGCAGAAGGACACACAUUCUUCUCCUCGACUGGGCUUACAUCCCUGCGGCCAUUGGCCCCCCCAGCUCUCGUGCCAGGCACAGCGAGCAAUGCUGCAGACAGGCUGAUGGAUCCUUGUUUUGCCCUUGGAGCUGCCAGCGAGAGCACACUCAGAUUCUAUUCGACAACAAACCAACAGGAUGUUUCUUAUUGCUACAGAAAGCUCCAGAAGAGUAGAUCCAGAGUGCACCGUUUUUGCAGUUGCCUGAUUUGAGAGGUGGGGCGGACCCAGGGCUUUCUGGGCUUGAUGUGGCAGAAGCCACCAGGUUGUACCAGGCAGGCCGUGCCACAGACCUCUGAGUACUUGCUUCCCUCACGACAGGUGUGUACAUCUGCAGUGCAGAUUAUGCAUGGGGCACAUUGUUAUUUGUUUCUUUUCUGCCUGGAAAAAUAUUUUCCUUUUAUGUAGCUCAGUGUCAUCUAAAUGAAUGAGUGCUGCCUUUCUGUCAUUUUGAAGCACAAGUAGAUUCUGCAGACACAUAUUGCAGCACGUAGCAUUCAGUGUUUAAGCUGUCUGUUUGAGCUCUACCCGAACACCGUGGCCUUGAGAUGAAUGCGUU
ensembl:lncRNA